rnacentral:misc_RNA from 1 species
GAUGAAGAACGCAGUGAAAUGCGAUAAGUAAUGUGAAUUGCAGAAUUCAGUGAAUCAUUGAAUCUUUGAACGCACAUUGCGCCCGCCAGUAUUCUGGCGGGCAUGCCUGUUCGAGCGUCAUUUCAACCAUCAAGCCCCCGGCUUGUGUUGGGGACCUGCGGCUGCCGCAGGCCCUGAAAUGCAGUGGCGGGCUCGCUGUCACUCCGAGCGUAGUAGUUACAUCUCGCUCUGGGCGUGCUGCGGGUUCCGGCCGUUAAAAGCCUUAUUUACCCAAGGUUGACCUCGGAUCAGGUAGGAAGACCCGCUGAACUUAAGCAUAUCAAUAAGCGGAGGA